UACACACCGCCCGUCACACCAUGGGAGUCGUUUGCUCCAGAAGUGGCUGUGUCAACCCGCAAGGGAGGCAGGUCCCCAAGGAGUGAACGGUAACUGGGUG
rnacentral:rRNA from 1 species